GUGGGAUUUGAAACAUAUCCAUUUCCCCUCUGGCAGACUCAUCCGACUAGAUGGUUUUGUGGCUCGCUACCAACAUAUUCACACUGGUCAGCUUAAGGAAUUCGAAGACUCAAAAUGAGUUUUUCAAAGAAAGUCUUUCCAAGUGGAGCUAGAAAAAUGGAAGGAACAUCGGCAGAAGAAAAGAGGUUCAUUCUUCAGUUGUCAAGUGUCACACAGGACCAAAGAAGCAUGACAUGCAAGCAAAGGCAAGACCACAAAAGGACAUAUCUGAAAGAACUGAGGAGCGAUCAGAAAAUGCAGGUUGCCUACAUCAUCAAAUCUCUUCCUUGUGGAAAUGUGGAGAUACAGAGAUUGUAGUUUCUGUAAUUCCUACAAAAACAGAAGGACAAUCUAUGGUAAUCCACCACAGUGAGUUCCAUACACUUCGGCCACACCAAUGGCUAGUAG